UGCUGUUUCUGACCUUCCCAACAUAGUGUAACUCCUGGAGUGUCCAGAAGGAGGCGAUCUUGACAUUUACUCCUUUGCCCACAGAGCUCCAGGAAGUGGUGGGUCUGGGUAUGCAGCCCAUGCUAGCCUUGAACUCUCCAACCUUCUGGUUUAGCCUCCCAAGUGCUGGAACCACAGACCCUCUCUUGGCCUUGACUGAAGUUCUACACUCCCCACCCGGCUUGGACAGAAUUCCAGAAGGUCAUCGGCUACCAGUGCGAACCGAGAAGAAGAAACAGAAAAGCAGUCCCAAACCACAGAGACACACCCGAUGGCUGCAGAGAAGCAGCCUGGCGUCAGCCCACGCGAUGGCCUGAGGAUGUCACCUGAGUCAGCCAAGAUGUUCGCAGAUGGCCUCACGCCAAGAAUGUGUCCUCCAUGUUCUUCUUCGGUGCCCCCCUGGUGCCCACCCCAUCCUUGGAGUCUGAGAUUUCCAUGCACGGACCCUCCCAGAGUGAGAACAGAGCCAGGCUGGGAAUCCUGUGAGGGGCUGUGAGGUCAGCUGGCUUGGUGGCCCAGCCUCCCACAAUGCCCUGGGCUUCCCACCACUAGCUCAGCAUAGGCUUUGGAACAGCAUUGCUAAGAUCCGAGUCCCAGUGACCACUUGCUUGGUGUGUGACCUCAGACCUGCUCUGUACGUUAAAAUGUGGUGAAACGGCCCUAGCUGGCAGGUUUGCUGUGGACAGUAAAUAAAAGCUGAGGACCCUGCGAAGCAAGCAGUCAGUA